rnacentral:rRNA from 1 species
CUACGGGACGCUCCAGUAAGGAAUAUUGCGCAAUGGAGGCAACUCUGACGCAGCGACGCCGCGUGGAUGAUGAAGGCCUUCGGGUCGUAAAAUCCUGUCAGAAGGAAAGAAGUGUAUGGUAGCUAAUAUCUGCCAUACUUGACGGUACCUUCAAAGGAAGCACCGGCUAACUCCGUGCCAGCAGCCGCGGUAAUACGGAGGGUGCAAGCGUUGUUCGGAAUUACUGGGCGUAAAGCGCGCGUAGGCGGUUUUAUAAGUCAGAUGUGAAAGUCCACGGCUCAACCAUGGAAGUGCAUUUGAAACUGUAAGACUUGAGUAUUGGAGGGGGUAGUGGAAUUCCCGGUGUAGAGGUGAAAUUCGUAGAUAUCGGGAGGAAUACCGGUGGCGAAGGCGACUAUCUGGCCAAAUACUGACGCUGAGGUGCGAAAGCGUGGGGAGCAAACAGGAUUAGAUACCCGUGUAGUC